CAUCGGGCGGAGGUGGCUAUAUUUAGAGAGAGCUAUCUUUUAGACGAACUGUAUUCUUGAUUACACGAAAUACAUGAGGGUGUUAGGACUGAACCAACAUUUUAUCUCUUGUUCUAUUCGCUGCUUAAACUGUUUUGUUGUGAGUAGAGCUGCUAUAGGAUGCAUUAUUGUGUAUGCAGCCACUUGACCCUGUGUUUGUUGGCAAAGAACUGUUUGCUGCAGUGAUCAAUGGUCAACCCUGCCAAGUUGUCCAAAUAAGUAAUCCAUGGAUGGAGUCCAUCCAUCCAUCCAUCCUUCUCUAAGUGGAAGAAGCAGAAGAAUCAAAGAUGAUGGCGAUCUCUAUGAGCUCAUGGAAUCAUCGGAGGAGGAGAAGACGGACCUUUUCUCUUCAUCAACAACAAAAGCAGCCACGACCCAGAACUAAAGCACAGUAUGAUGCUCAGAUGAAGUGGCAAUGAGAUAUGCGGGUAGCAUCAGAAGCAAACUUCCCCCCCCCCCUCUUAUUUGGUGUAAUUCAGUUGCUUUGCUUAAUCAAUUGGCAUGAUAAUGUUAAUCUCUAGCACUACAGUUGACAAGAUAGUGAGUCUCUUCUUUUCGGUUCCUGUGAGCUAUCAGAAUCUAAUGAUGAUGAUUUUUAGCUUGUUUACUCAAAAAGUGGAGUGUAGUUAAUGGAAUCUCCAAAGUUGUGUUUAUUGUCGGUUGAUUGACAUGAUACUGUUAAUCUCUAGCACUAUAGGGACAAAAUAUUUAGUCUUGGUCCCUUUUGUUUUGUUCCAGUGAGCUAUACAGAGUCUAAUGAUGAUGAUUUUUAGCUUGUUUACUCAAGAAGUGGAGUGUAGUUAAUGGAAUCGCCAAAGUUGUGUUUGUGUUUUGAGAAAUAUUGUAUGUUGUUCAGUCAAGGAUCAUGUUUGUUGAGGCUGACCCUUACUCUGUAAAACCAGCUAAGAACUUUGUCUCAAUUUCCACAUGCAUGUUGGCCGAUCUGUUGCUCUUGGGUGUAUUUCUUCAACAAGGUUGCAGAUUGUCAAAUUUUAACACAGUGCUAGUUGUUCUACUAUGCUGAUCACCAUUGUAGAUAGUACAAGGUACUAUACCCCACACACACAAUGCUUGAUGUCUGGAUAUGUUUCCUUGGUGUUUCUUCAACAAGGCAGAGAGCUACUGUUGGUGGCACGGCAACCUCACCUGUCAUGGCGACGUGACAAGCUGGGAGACGGAGGCAUGAUGAUGGUGACGAUGACGUGAUGUCUUUGAUGUGCUCAAGUGGUUUGGCUCCGGCAACUUGUGUGGGUUAUCUGGGACCACACCCGCUCUUUGUAGAUGCAAGCCCGGGAGAUAAUGUUCCAGCGGGUGCGUGAUGUUGUGUUGCUCGGCGCUGACUAUUGACUUGUCUCGUAUUGAAGCGCUGGCGCUCAGCUCGUCACCAUUCAGUCACACUCGACAUCUUUCUUUGUGAAGAAGGACGCUGUGAUGGACAUCAUGAUGGAGUAGUAGAAGCUGGGCUCAUGUCUUUGAUUGGAUUCACUAGAUUAGUUUGUCUUGUUGUUUUUAGAAGGAAUUAUGAUGAAGAGCUUGCUUGCUCUGUUUGAUUCCUAUUAUUGAUUUGGUAGGAGCAGUUUGUGAAUUCCAAACAUCUUGAUUAAUUCAAAUUGGUAUUCUUCGGAAGAUGCGGGGCAAAAUGACGAUUUUUUAUUUGCGGCAUUGGAUCUUUGCUCUGUAAAUGUAGUUAGUUGCCUUGUUGCUGACUGUAACCUUUGGUCUUUUCAUAGACCGGGC